UACGAGAACCCCAAGCGUUAUCCGGAAUCAUUGGGCGUAAAGGGUGUGUAGGCGGUUCGGUUAGUCUUCUGUCAAAACCACGGGCUUAACCCGAGGCUUGCAGUGGAAACGGCCGGACUAGAGAGUGCGAGAGGUGAAUGGAACUCAUGGAGUAGGGGUGAAAUCCGUUGAUAUCAUGGGGAACACCGAAAGCGAAGGCAAUUCACUGGCGCACUUCUGACGCUGAGACACGAAAGCGUGGGUAGCGAACGGG
rnacentral:rRNA from 1 species